rnacentral:rRNA from 1 species
AUUGAACGCUGGCGGCAGGCCUAACACAUGCAAGUCGAGCGAGCGGCGGACGGGUGAGUAAUGUAUGGGGACUGCCCGAUAGAGGGGGAUAACUACUGGAAACGGUGGCUAAUAACGCAUCCAGUCGGAUAACCCAUAUGGGAGUGGCUAGUCGGUAAGGUAAUGGCUCACCUAGGCGACGAUACCUAGCUGGUCUGAGAGGAUGAUCAGCCACACUGGGACUGAGACACAGCCCAGACUCCUACGGAGGCAGCAGUGGGGAAUAUUGCACAAUGGGCGCAAGCCUGAUGCAGCCAUGCCGCGUGUAUGAAGAAGGCCCUAGGGUUGUAAAGUACUUUCAGUCGGGAGGCGUUACCGACAGAAGAAGCACCGGCUAACUCCGUGCCAGCAGCCGCGGUAAUAC